rnacentral:rRNA from 1 species
AGAGUUUGAUCAUGGCUCAGGAUGAACGCUAGCGGCAGGCCUAAUACAUGCAAGUCGAACGGGUUGUUGUAGCAAUACAAUGAUCAGUGGCGCACGGGUGCGUAACGCGUAUGCAACCUACCUUAAACUGGGGGAUAGCCUUCCGAAAGGGAGAUUAAUACCGCAUAAGAUCAUUUGAUGGCAUCUGAAGAUGAUUAAAGAUUUAUUGGUUUAAGAUGGGCAUGCGUGCCAUUAGCUAGUUGGUAGUGUAACGGACUACCAAGGCGACGAUGGCUAGGGGUUCUGAGAGGAUGAUCCCCCACACUGGUACUGAGAUACGGACCAGACUCCUACGGGAGGCAGCAGUAGGGAAUAUUGGGCAAUGGACGGAAGUCUGACCCAGCCAUGCCGCGUGCAGGAAGAAGGCCUUCUGGGUUGUAAACUGCUUUUAUAUAGGAAGAAAACACCUUUGCGAAGGAACCUGACGGUACUAUAUGAAUAAGCACCGGCUAACUCCGUGCCAGCAGCCGCGGUAAUACGGAGGGUGCAAGCGUUGUCCGGAUUUAUUGGGUUUAAAGGGUGCGUAGGCGGCCCGUUAAGUCAGUGGUGAAAGCCUCCAGCUCAACUGGAGAACUGCCAUUGAUACUGACGGGCUUGAGUACAGACGAGGUUGGCGGAAUUGAUUGUGUAGCGGUGAAAUGCAUAGAUACAAUCAAGAACUCCGAUUGCGUAGGCAGCUAACUAGGCUGUAACUGACGCUGAGGCACGAAAGCGUGGGGAGCGAACAGGAUUAGAUACCCUAGUAGUCC